AAAUGAGGGGCGUAAGUGCUUUGCCCCGCGGCCCCUUUUCUUCUCUCCAGUACGUGAGCCGUUUGGCUCUGCAGCGGUGUCUAACCGACCUUAAACUUUCCGCGACCCUAUUUCGGGAUGCUAGGGCUCAGGUCGGGGAGAGAAGGAGCCCAGGUCCCCACUCCACACCUCUCCCUGGCUCUUAAGAUACUCUCUAACUCCUCGGGAGGAUCGCAGUACCCAGCCGACCUUUGCGAACGUUUAACUCGGGGUUGCCCUGUGCAGAAAGCUUAGUCUGCGAGGUGCGCGAACCGGCCAGGGGUUUCCCCCACCAGUGGUGCCUGGGGACACCGUGCGUUUUGCCCUCGCGUGUACCGCGACUUUCCCGGGACCUCAGUUGGGGAAGGGAGAGGCGCCUGGGCAGAGCUGAACUGGGGUAGGGAGGUUCGUGGUAAAGCGGGGCUCGCAGGGACGGCGAGGGCUCUUCGCAAGCAGGGUUUCCUGGUCCUGGAACGGCCGCGAAGUCUGCAGCCGGCGGUGCCUUCCUGGGGUCGCGGGAGAAGGCGAAGGCGAAGCUUGCGACUCGCACCCGAUAAGAUUCCGCCGGCGCCGGCCCCUGCCCGCGGCCUGCUCGCCAGACACCGCGACCUGGGGGGAACACUGGGGUCCUGGGCCCCCCCGCCUGGGAAGCCCAGGCAAGGGUUCCCAAGGAGCUAGAACUCCAAGUCGGAGCAGGGACCCUGAAACGUCCCUGCUGUAAUUCACAGAAAAAAACAAACCGAGGUCAGGGGUGCCAAAUUACCGUCCCUUUUUGAUUAUUUAUACACAAGUAAUAAAGACAAAGACAAACCACCCCGACCUCUGGCCUGGUGAUGCACGCCUGUAAUCCCAGCACUCUGGGAGGCUGAGCCAGGAGGAUCUCCAUGAGUUCCAGGCCAGUCUGGGAUUAGUGAGUCCAUGUCUAGCCUGAAAUACAUAGUAAGACCCUAUAUCAAAAAAAAAAAAAAAAAAUUCACCCCUAGCUGCCUGCCCCCGCCUGUGGUCUUGCCCUGGCCUGUGCCAUCCCAUUCCAUUAGGGUUUGAACACAGGCGACCUGGAAGGUGGGCAAAGCUGUGUAGACCGAGGCCAUCCCGGCAGCAGGUCUGGGCCAGGACUAACUGCGCAGGUGCGAGGCCGAGGAGCACUCAGCCCCCGGACUGGCUCGCUUGGGAAGCCGGGUCUUCAUCAUCCGUGGCCAGUCCCGCCUGGCAUCGCCACCUCGCCUGGGCAGCAGCUGGAGCAUCCUUCGCUCCCCCAAAGCGGGCAUUCGGCUUGGGGAGCAGCUCUGAGGAGGAGGGGCAGGAAUUGCUAAAAGGAAGCAGAAAAGUAGCAAAAAGAGGG
rnacentral:lncRNA from 1 species